CUCUAGAGAUAGAGUCUUCCCCUUCGGGGGACAAAGUGACAGGUGGUGCAUGGUUGCCGUCAGCUCGUGUCGUGAGAUGUUGGGUUAAGUCCCGCAACGAGCGCAACCCUUAAGCUUAGUUGCCAGCAUUAAGUUGGGCACUCUAAGUUGACUGCCGGUGACAAACCGGAGGAAGGUGGGGAUGACGUCAAAUCAUCAUGCCCCUUAUGAUUUGGGCUACACACGUGCUACAAUGGACAAUACAAAGGGCAGCUAAACCGCGAGGUCAUGCAAAUCCCAUAAAGUUGUUCUCAGUUCGGAUUGUAGUCUGCAACUCGACUACAUGAAGCUGGAAUCGCUAGUAAUCGUAGAUCAGCAUGCUACGGUGAAUACGUUCCCGGGUCUUGUACACACCGCCCGUCACACCACGAGAGUCUGUAACACCCGAAGCCGGUGGAGUAACCAUUUAUGGAGCUAGCCGUCGAAGGUGGGACAAAUGAUUGGGGUGAAGUCGUAACAAGGUAGCCGUAUCGGAAG
rnacentral:rRNA from 1 species